AAUAAUUGAUCCAUGCUGAAAUCGAGCCUGGGAUGCGCUGCAGCGAGUUUCAUGGAGAGAAACUCAACUUGUCUCUGGAGGGACUGAACAUAGUUAAUGAUCUCGUCUAGCAUGCCGGCCUUGCCGGUGAUCUUGUUGCAGCCGGGGACGAGAUCCUGGAGAUAUUUCAUUCUCUCGCUGAUCUUCUCCCUCCUCACUCUCUCUGCCAAGCUAUGGCUAUCGGUUGCUUGCCCUCGGCGUGCUCUCACGUGGAUAUAGUCUGU
rnacentral:misc_RNA from 1 species